rnacentral:rRNA from 1 species
UACGUAGGGCGCAAGCGUUGUCCGGAAUUAUUGGGCGUAAAGAGCUCGUAGGUGGUCUGUUACGUCUGCUGUGAAAACCCAGGGCUUAACCCUGGGCCUGCAGUGGAUACGGGCAGACUAGAGGUAGGUAGGGGAGAAUGGAAUUCCCGGUGUAGCGGUGAAAUGCGCAGAUAUCGGGAGGAACACCGGUGGCGAAGGCGGUUCUCUGGCCUGUAACUGACGCUGAGGCGCGAAAGCGUGGGGAGCAAACAGG